rnacentral:lncRNA from 1 species
UGCCCCAUCUAUUCCUCUCCCUUUCCUCCACGUCUGAGCAUCUCUCUCCUAUCUCUUAUUUGCUGAAAAUCAGAUUUCAACAAAGAGAUAUUGAAGAAGCUCUUAUCUUACUGAUCUUCUCAAGGAGUUGAGAAGGAUCUUCCAUCAAGUAGAGGUUCCACAAAGGAGCUAGCACCCCGGAGAGCCAGUUGGUUGCUGAUCAGCCCUUUACUCCAUGU